UACGUAGGGUGCAAGCGUUGUCCGGAAUUAUUGGGCGUAAAGAGCUCGUAGGCGGUCUGUCGCGUCGGCUGUGAAAACUCGGGGCUCAACUCCGAGCUUGCAGUCGAUACGGGCAGGCUAGAGUUCGGCAGGGGAGACUGGAAUUCCUGGUGUAGCGGUGGAAUGCGCAGAUAUCAGGAAGAACACCGAUGGCGAAGGCAGAUCUCUGGGCCGUAACUGACGCUGAGGAGCGAAAGCAUGGGGAGCGAACAGG
rnacentral:rRNA from 1 species